rnacentral:lncRNA from 1 species
CUAGUGUUAAUUGUUUCACGUGGCCAUUUUUGUCUACUUCCCAAGAACAAAAGACCAUCCACAAUUUGUACUUGUCUAAUCAUGUUACUUCAUAUAAUUGAACAAACCUCAAACGUCGUUCUCUCCUUAGUUUAUAUGGCCUUGAAUGAAGUUCUGUUUAAUGUUUUUGGACAUCUCCACUUGCAGGUUUGAAUUAAUUUUUGGGUGGGAAAUCACAAAAUUACAGGUAGAACUUCUUUGAUGUAUUGCCUUUUCUUCCUUUUGUCUUGCAGGAUUGCUUCUUCUUCUUCUUUUUUUUCCUUUUUUUUUUCCUAUCUUAAUAACUUGUGCUGGGUAUAUUAUUAAUAUUGAUGGAUUAUGUUUGAAGUACAUCUAUAUGGAGAAUAGUACAGUACCACCUUGUGGUACAGUUAACAUGAUAUUCUUCACCACCCUGCUCACAUUAUCUGUGUAGGGUUGGCCAGGAUUCCUAGUUACCUACCCGACUUGUCUACACAGGUGGUUAGGUAGUUUCUGUUGGCGAGUCCUUAUUUCAUUAGAAUUUUGGUUACUUACCAAUUAUAUUUUGUCCUAUUGUAAUAGAGAUUAUUUUAUUUAGUGUUAUGGGGGUUGAUGAUUUUUUCAACCCUCAUAGAGGUAGCACCACCGACUCAUUCUCUCAUUCUCCACCAACCAUCGUUGAGUUGAGUGCCCAGAUGGCUCCACUCCUACAGAUGCAGACUUUUACCCCGAACCUAAUCCAGAAUCAGGAUCCUCUUUUGACGACCCCGACCCCGACUCCGACUAUGAUGACAACGACCUCGACCCCGACUCCGAAGACGACCCCGACCCCGACUCCGAAGACGACCUCGACCCCGACCCCGAACCCAACUCCGAAGACGACCCCGACCCCCACUCCGAUGAUGACCCCAACCCCGAAUUUGGCUCUGAUUCAGACCCUGAUCCCGAUUUCAACUCUGACUCCGGCCUCGACUCAGGCUCAUAUUCCGAUCCCAAUUCCUACUCAACUGUAUCCUAUGCAUCUUUCGCUGCACAGAUUAUGACUUCUCGACUAACGACCCCAACACAUGGACCAGAUUGCGCAUUUUGUGAAAUCCGAGGAUCAAUUGGCAGAUAUUUUGACAAAUGCGAUUUUCAGUAAAGCAUUCCACAAUUCACUAGAUCAGUUGGGCAUUGGCGACAUCUAUGCACCAAUGUGAGGGAGAGUGUUGGCGUGACUUGUGGAUAUUGACUUACUUUCCUUACACACCAAGAAUUCCUAUUAUAAUUGUAAUUGAUUUACUUUAAUUCCUGAUUUCCUACUGCAAAUAGAUUUAGGAAUUUAUUAUUUACUUCCCAUUCAGGUUUCGUUGUAUUAUAAAUAUGACCUCCUACAAGGAGAAGAAUACACAGAAAAUUCCCACAAACAAAUAUUCUCUCAUAGUUUUCAUAUUUUAGCAUGGUAUCAGAGCGGCGAUCUUGGGAUUGCUGACUCUAGUUUCUAAACCCUAGCCGCCACCAUGGGGGAGGAUGACUCUUCUAAUCCUCAUGGCGGUAGCACCACUGCUUGUGUUCUUCUUGAAAUUUAAGUGCUCUUCUCCCCCCUUGAGAGGGGGGGGAGGGGGAGUGAAAGGGAUAUGUUUAUUGACCUAUCCCAAUUACCUUGACAUAUUUCCAUGAAGAUGUUGCUUAUUUCUUGACUCCGACGACCCCUUCUCUUCAAGGGGAGAGGAAGAUUGAAGAGAAUUUGUGUCUGAGUGAAUUAGCUAAAGUUUAUAUGGAAGAAUUUAUUGUUGCUACUGCCGUGCUCAUGGGGUUUCGGUGUUCUGCCUUACCUAUUGCUGUGCUCACAGGGUUUCUGUGUUCUGCCUUAUCAAUUGCUGUGCUCACACAGUUUCUGUGUUCUGCCUUACCUACUGCCAUACUCACAGGGUUUCUGUGUUCUGCCUUAUCUACACCCGUGCUCACAGAGUUUCUGUGUUUUGCUAUGUGCCCUAUUUUUUAGGGUUUGCUCUUGUGUUUCCGCUGUGAACUUUGUUUUAGUUUGUCACUUGUUUCACUCGUGGUUGACUAAAAGAUCUUCUCUACAAUUGGUGUUUCUCAAGUAUGGUGUCCUGUGACUCGCUUGUCAAGUUGGGCCUGCGAAAUAUCUUUGCCCAACUUGAGGGGGAGUGUUGGCGAGUCCUUAUUUCAUUAGAAUUUGGUUACUUACCAAUUAUAUUUUGUCCUAUUGUAAUAGAGAUUAUUUUAUUUAGUGUUAUGGGGGUUGAUGAUUUUUUCAACCCUCAUAGAGGUAGCACCACCGACUCAUUCUCUCAUUCUCCACCAACCAUCGUUGAGUUGAGUGCCCAGAUGGCUCCGCUCCUACAGAUGCAGACUUUUACCCCGAACCUAAUCCAGAAUCAGGAUCCUCUUUUGACGACCCCGACCCCGACUCCGACUAUGAUGACAACGACCUCGACCCCGACUCCGAAGACGAC